CAUAGGGUAUAUUUCAGGCUUUCCUAUAUCACAAAAUAUUCCCAGGAUAUUCCUGAUUUCCACGAAUCAAUCCCGUACAAACCCACAAAUUGUCAAAGCUAAAACACCUACCUUGCAGGAUUAACAAUUCUACUGGGCUCUGCCUAUCCAAUGGCAAUUCUAUUAUUUAUUGUCCCUAGUCCCUACAGAUCUGAUAGAAUCCGCUCUGCCUUACCACUGAGCUAGUAUACAGCUAGGGACUGUUCCUCAAACUCAAGGGUCUUACAGUAGAGUGGGCUAUCCCCUAGGUCGAGCUCCUAUACUACCUCACCCUGCAACCCAGCACCUUCUCAGGAUCGUCCAGGCCAGAUAGUCGACCUUACGACACUAUGAGUGGACACUCUCUCCUGGGUUGGUUUAGUCCAGAAUCACCCCUCAUAUGACUCCUACCAAUGCACUCAGUACCUUUAGUUGGGUCUCAGGUUCCUUCAUACCAGCAAUUCAGGUUCCCGAUGGACUAAUUAACCAGAUGCUAUAAAUCCUCAAUUAAUCCAGUGUGUUUCAGAAACCAGGAGUAAAACGACAUGCACUCCUAUGACUCUUUGAUGACACCGAGUUUCAGAACAAUAAAACAAGUUUAUUCAAAAUUCCAGAAACAGGCAUUAAAAAUCACAGAUCAAUCAAUCAAUCAUAAAUCAAUAUCCCCAAUCGAUGAUAAGCAAAAAUAUAACUUGGAUUAAAUUGAGAGAUGCCUUCAGCGCCCAUAACUAAACCCUUAUCUAAACCCUUAUUAGUGUGUGUCAAUAAAAUAUGUUUGGUCUAUAACAAUUUUAUGAGAAGCACAGUGUUCAAUAACAAGAAAAACAAGUUCUUACCUUCUACAAAUUAUAAACAGAUUUUUGUCUCCCCCUUCAGGUUUCUCAGUCCCUCAGUUGGUGUCUAAAAAACUAACAGCUACUAGAACACUCCUAUCAGUGAGGUAACCUUUAGGGUUCCUCCUAGAAUGUACUAGAACAUUCCUAUCAAUGAGGUAACCUUUAGGGUUCCUCCUAGAAUGUACUAGAACACUUCUAUCAAUGAGGUAACCUUUAGGGUUCCUCCUAGAAUGUACUAGAACACUCCUAUCAGUGAGGUAACCUUUAGGGUUCCUCCUAGAAUGUACUAGAACACUCCUAUCAAUGAGGUAACCUUUAGGGUUCCUCCUAGAAUGUACUAGAACACUCCUAUCAAUGAGGUAACAUUCAGGGUUCCUCCUAGAAUGUACUAGAACACUUUCAGAAUAAAAAACCAAGUAUAUUAAAAAUCUAAAUGAAUCUGAAGUUAAAAAGCUUCAGUAAAAGUCUUUCUCCAGCAGACGACAGGUUCUUCUAGCAAACUCAAAGAGAGUCAUUCCCUUCCCAUGAAACCUGCUUCCUUUAUACCCUUAAUGCCUCUUCUGAUAAAUCAUCAGGAUGACCACCUGCUCCACUGAUGCCUUCGGUGGUUAACACCUAAUGAAUGCAUCCAUCUUCUCAAAAGGUGCUUUUUCAGCCCCCACUAACCUCCACGUUUUCCCACCUAGGCAGAACGUACGCUUCAACCUACUUGCUGCUCUGACCUGGGGAUUUCCAGAUCAAGCUAGCACCCUUAAUAUACUUCAUGAACAUCAACUUCUUAAAACAUACAUUUUUCAAACAUGAAACUUUCCUAUUCCCUUCACCCUCCUACCUUUAACUAAAUUAUAGUCUUUCUACAACCUAAUUUAUUACUCAAGUUAUAUCUCAAUACAUCAAUAUUUUAAACAUUUCAACAUUAUAACAUUUUACCAUUAUAACGUCUCAUUAUCAACCUCCUAAGGCCUUGUCCUCUAAGCCUAAUCAAACACAGUCUAUAUGAUUCACACCUUAAGGAAAACAACAUUAUAUCUCCCAAUGUUUAAUAACCUGUCUACAGGAAAGAACCUCAGUCUACCUUUGUACAUUACCAAACAGGAAAGAACCUCAGUCUACCUCUGUACAUUACCAAACAGGAAAGAACCUCAGUCUACCUCUGUACAUUACCAAACAGGAAAGAACCUCAGUCUACCUCUGUACAUUACCAAA
rnacentral:lncRNA from 1 species